ACUUAAAUUGAAGAGUUUGAUCAUGGCUCAGAUUGAACGCUGGCGGCAGGCCUAACACAUGCAAGUCGAGCGGCAGCGGGAAAGUAGCUUGCUACUUUUGCCGGCGAGCGGCGGACGGGUGAGUAAUGCCUGGGGAUCUGCCUAGUCGAGGGGGAUAACAGUUGGAAACGACUGCUAAUACCGCAUACGCCU
rnacentral:rRNA from 1 species